rnacentral:rRNA from 1 species
CAGCCGCCACGGGAAUACGUAGGUGGCGAGCGUUGUCCGGAAUCAUUGGGCGUAAAGGGAGCGCAGGCGGGCAUGUAAGUCUUUCUUAAAAGUUCGGGGCUCAACCCCGUGAUGGGAAAGAAACUACAUGUCUUGAGUACAGGAGAGGAAAGCGGAAUUCCCAGUGUAGCGGUGAAAUGCGUAGAUAUUGGGAGGAACACCAGUGGCGAAGGCGGCUUUCUGGACAGCAACUGACGCUGAGGCUCGAAAGCCAGGGGAGCGAACGGGAUUAGAUACCCGAGUAGUCCCUGUCUCUUAUACA